GUCCCUAUAGCGCGAUGGAUAACGCGUUGGACUUCUAAUUCAAGGUCGUGGCUUCGAAUUUCACCUGGGAUG